rnacentral:rRNA from 1 species
GACGAACGCUGGCGGCGUGCCUAAUACAUGCAAGUAGGACGCACAGUUUAUACCGUAGCUUGCUACACCAUAGACUGUGAGUUGCGAACGGGUGAGUAACGCGUAGGUAACCUACCUAUUAGAGGGGGAUAACUAUUGGAAACGAUAGCUAGUACCGCAUAACAGUAUGUAACACAUGUUAGAUGCUUGAAAGAUGCAAUUGCAUCGCUAGUAGAUGGACCUGCGUUGUAUUAGCUAGUAGGUAGGGUAAAGGCCUACCUAGGCAACGAUACAUAGCCGACCUGAGAGGGUGAUCGGCCACACUGGGACUGAGACACGGCCCAGACUCCUACGGGAGGCAGCAGUAGGGAAUCUUCGGCAAUGGGGGGAACCCUGACCGAGCAACGCCGCGUGAGUGAAGAAGGUUUUCGGAUCGUAAAGCUCUGUUGUUAAGGAAGAACGAGUGUGAGAAUGGAAAGUUCAUGCUGUGACGGUACUUAACCAGAAAGGGACGGCUAACUACGUGCCAGCAGCCGCGGUAAUACGUAGGUCCCGAGCGUUGUCCGGAUUUAUUGGGCGUAAAGCGAGCGCAGGCGGUUAGAAAAGUCUGAAGUGAAAGGCAGUGGCUCAACCAUUGUAGGCUUUGGAAACUGUUUAACUUGAGUGCAGAAGGGGAGAGUGGAAUUCCAUGUGUAGCGGUGAAAUGCGUAGAUAUAUGGAGGAACACCGGUGGCGAAAGCGGCUCUCUGGUCUGUAACUGACGCUGAGGCUCGAAAGCGUGGGGAGCGAACAGG